CUUCCUAUAUGCAUUCAACAAUGAAGUGUUUGAGAGCAGACUGUUUAUCGUACUUUGCUUACUAACUGAUUGUCGUUCGAUAGUUAAUGAUUAGAUGGUUAUAUUUCGAAAUCGAAACUAGCCUUUAUAUCUAAUAUGAAAUGCGCAUUUGGAAAGGCCGACAUCCUGACUACGGUGUCAAACACUUUGAACCAGAAUUAUGGGGGACUCGUGUCAGCAAUGCACACAUUUAAGGACACAACUAAAAGACAGUGAAAGUAUUAUUGCGCAGGUACUUUCCGAAGUUACCACAAAGACAAAUAUUAUAGAUAAACUCGUUUUGGAGAACGAACAGCUAAAACACAAUGUACAAGAACUUAACCUAAGAUUGAAAUCUGUCAUAGAUGACAAAAUGAAAAUAAGUGUGUCUUUGGACAACAAAAAAGAUGAGCAAGCGAAUAUCCUUGCGCAGGUAUUGGUCGACGUGACCGCAAAGACAUGUAAACUAGAAAAGCUCGUUUCAGAGAACGAGCAGAUACAACAAACGGUUCAGGAACUAAACCUGAGGUUGUUGAUUGAAUUCUGUCAUGGCGGAUACAAUGAAUAAAAGUGGGACUUUUGAAAACACAAACGAUGAGUACUCAAAUACUAAAUUAGCUCAAAGGUUUGACUCACACGUUAAACAAAUCUGGAUUGAAGUUAACGACGAAAUUGAAGAAGAAUUUAACGAAGUGGACCGUUUGUCAAUUCUAUCCGAAAUGUGCCAGAAUGUGUUUACAGCAUUUCAUACGGAAGUUGACUUUGCUAAUCAACGAAUCCUCGACAGCAUAUUCAGCGAUGAAAAAACUUUCGAUGACAGUCUUUUAAAAGAAGUAAGAAGUGCGAGAAAGUUAUAUAGCGGUAAAAGUACAACACGAGAAAAGCAAAUAGAGAAAAUAUUGCAAUCCAUUCAAUGGUCAAAAGAAAUCAAUAGAAUAAUAUCGGAACGCCCAGAGACCCUAAUAAAAACGUUUCUGGCAGAGCUUGCCGAUGUGUCAUGGCUGAUGGUGACGUCGAAUCCACCAUUGAUCCUGAAUUUUGACGUCAAAGGGAAAGAAUAUACUGCUCGCAUCAAGGAAAGAUUUGUAGAAUGUGGGACAUCUGAAGCCAUUUCGCACUGCAAAUGCGAACCUGGGCAUGUUUUGUUGGUUGCCUGGCCUAGUGUUGAGUUAGAGAACAACAAAGGUUAUCUAACAAAGGGCGAAGUUGUUGUCAUGCCAAAUGAAAUAAACAAUAAAAUGACGAUCUAAAACUUUAAAAAUAAACACUCAGUGCCCUGUCUUCCUUCGUAUUUAAGAUAUCAUAUAUUAUGUAAAACACGGAUUUCGAAAAAUUUAAACUAAGUGCAAUGUGUUGUGAACUGUAAAAUUGAAUUCCACGAAUUGUAAAAUUAAAAUGUGAGAAUGAAUAGCAGAAGGCUUUAAAAAAUAAAAACAACACCAGGAAUAACUUGGAACCUGGAAUAAAUAAGCUGUAUAUCUGCUUUUGUCAAGCACUUUUGUUUAAGAAAAUGAGCAUAACACUGGCGAUGAAAAAGCAUAAGUAUAUUAUACAUGUAUGCAAAGGUAUUGUUAUCACGUUAUCUAUACUUGUAUAUUAUAAGAUCAACUUAUAAAAUAUAAACUGCUACAUGGAUACGAAAAGGUUUAUAACAAUGUACGCUCCACGAAACUGUCAUCAGUAUUUCACUUAAGAACAUAUGCAAUUUUAAACGCUCCGAUUUCGUUGGCUUGGACUCUUUUGAAAUUGUGUCUGUUAUUGGCAUAUGUGUUAUAGUUAUGGGCAAUUAGAAAUUAUUGUUACAUUAUUGACUUCGAACAUGUGUCUGUUUUUUAUGAAUCUCGUAUGUUUGUUUCUGCAUAUAUAAAAUUGCACAUGUUUUCCUUUUCGGUCACUGUACUUACUUGUUUUUACGAGUGCUUCACUUUUAAAUUGCUGAAUUAUAGUCAAUAAAAUUUUGUGUCGAA